GCCGCAUAAGUGUAACGGGUGACACGCAAGCCUUCCAAGUUUGAUAAGCGAGUUCGAGCCUCGCAUGCGGUUCCA
rnacentral:tRNA from 1 species